rnacentral:rRNA from 1 species
GGGUUGUGAGGUUAAGCGACUAAGCGUACACGGUGGAUGCCCUGGCAGUCAGAGGCGAUGAAGGACGUGCUAAUCUGCGAUAAGCGUCGGUAAGGUGAUAUGAACCGUUAUAACCGGCGAUUUCCGAAUGGGGAAACCCAGUGUGAUUCGUCACACUAUCAUUGCGUGAAUACAUAGCGUAAUGAAGCGAACCGGGGGAACUGAAACAUCUAAGUACCCCGAGGAAAAGAAAUCAACCGAGAUUCCCCCAGUAGCGGCGAGCGAACGGGGAGCAGCCCAGAGUCUGAAUCAGCAUGUGUGGUAGUGGAACGGUCUGGAAAGUCCGACGGUACAGGGUGAUAGUCCCGUACACAAAAGUGCAUGUGUUGUGAACUCGAAGAGUAGGGCGGGACACGUGGUAUCCUGUCUGAAUAUGGGGGGACCAUCCUCCAAGGCUAAAUACUCCUGACUGACCGAUAGUGAACCAGUACCGUGAGGGAAAGGCGAAAAGAACCCCGGCGAGGGGAGUGAAAAAGAACCUGAAACCGUGUACGUACAAGCAGUGGGAGCCUCUUUAUGGGGUGACUGCGUACCUUUUGUAUAAUGGGUCAGCGACUUAUAUUCUGUAGCAAGGUUAACCGAAUAGGGGAGCCGAAGGGAAACCGAGUCUUAACUGGGCGUUAAGUUGCAGGGUAUAGACCCGAAACCCGGUGAUCUAGCCAUGGGCAGGUUGAAGGUUGGGUAACACUAACUGGAGGACCGAACCGACUAAUGUUGAAAAAUUAGCGGAUGACUUGUGGCUGGGGGUGAAAGGCCAAUCAAACCGGGAGAUAGCUGGUUCUCCCCGAAAGCUAUUUAGGUAGCGCCUCGUGAACUCAUCUUCGGGGGUAGAGCACUGUUUCGGCUAGGGGGUCAUCCCGACUUACCAACCCGAUGCAAACUGCGAAUACCGAAGAAUGUUAUCACGGGAGACACACGGCGGGUGCUAACGUCCGUCGUGAAGAGGGAAACAACCCAGACCGCCAGCUAAGGUCCCAAAGUCAUGGUUAAGUGGGAAACGAUGUGGGAAGGCACAGACAGCCAGGAUGUUGGCUUAGAAGCAGCCAUCAUUUAAAGAAAGCGUAAUAGCUCACUGGUCGA